CGCAUGGUACAGUGAUCAAAGGAUUUAUUCGCUGAAGGAUGGCUUCGCGUCCGAUUAGGUAGUUGGUGAGGUAACGGCCCACCAAGCCUACGAUCGGUAGCCGGACUGAGAGGUUGAUCGGCCACAUUGGGACUGAGACACGGCCCAGACUCCUACGGGAGGCAGCAUG
rnacentral:rRNA from 1 species